CCUACGGGAGGCAGCAGUGAGGAAUAUUGGUCAAUGGCCGUAAGGCUGAACCAGCCAAGUCGCGUGAAGGAAGAAGGAUCUAUGGUUUGUAAACUUCUUUUAUAGGGGAAUAAAGGUAUCCACGUGUGGAUAUUUGCAUGUACCCUAUGUAUAAGCAUCGGCUAACUCCGUGCCAGCAGCCGCGGUAAUACGGAGGAGGCGAGGGUUAUCCGGAUUGAUUGGGUUUAACGGGUGCGUAGGUUGUUUUUUAAGUCAUCAGUGAAAGUGUGGGGCUCAACCAUAAAAUUGCCGGUGAAACUAGAAGACUUGAGUGUGAUAGAGGUAGGCAGAAUGCGUGGUGUAGCGGUGAAAUGCAUAGAUAUCACGCAGAACUCCGAUUGCGAAGGCAGCUAACUAAGUCAUAACUGACACUGAAGUACGAAAGCGUGGGGAUCAAACAGGAUUAGAUACCCUGGUAGUC
rnacentral:rRNA from 1 species